rnacentral:rRNA from 1 species
CGGUUGAUCCUGCCGGAGGCCACUGCUAUUGGGAUUCGACUAAGCCAUGCGAGUCGAGAGGGUUCGGCCCUCGGCUGACGGCUCAGUAACACGUGGAUAAUCUGCCCUAAGGUGGAGGAUAACCUCGGGAAACUGAGAAUAAUACUCCAUAGGUCUAAGAGGCUGGAAUGCACUUAGGCCAAAAGCUCCGGCGCCUUAGGAUGAGUCUGCGGACUAUCAGGUAGUAGUCAGGGUAACGACCUGACUAGCCUACGACGGAUACGGGUUGUGAGAGCAAUAACCCGGAGAUGAUAUCUGAGACACGAUAUCAGGCCCUACGGGGCGCAGCAGGCGCGAAAACUUCACACUGCGCGAAAGCGCGAUGAGGGAAUCCCAAGUGCUUGCACGUAAGUGUAAGCUGUUUCUCUGUCUAAAAAGCAGAGAGAGUAAGGGCUGGGUAAGACGGGUGCCAGCCGCCGCGGUAAUACCUGCAGCUCAAGUGGUGGCCGCUAUUAUUGGGCCUAAAACGUCCGUAGCCGGUCUAGUAAAUGCCUGGGUAAAUCGUGAGGCUCAACCUUACGAAUUCCGGGUAGACUGCUAGACUUGAGACCGGGAGAGGCUAGAGGUACUCCUGGGGUAGAGGUGAAAU